rnacentral:rRNA from 1 species
UACGAAGGGGGCUAGCGUUGCUCGGAAUUACUGGGCGUAAAGGGCGCGUAGGCGGAUAGUUUAGUCAGAGGUGAAAGCCCAGGGCUCAACCUUGGAAUUGCCUUUGAUACUGGCUAUCUUGAGUUCGGGAGAGGUGAGUGGAAUGCCGAGUGUAGAGGUGAAAUUCGUAGAUAUUCGGCGGAACACCAGUGGCGAAGGCGACUCACUGGCCCGAUACUGACGCUGAGGCGCGAAAGCAUGGGGAGCGAACAGG